rnacentral:rRNA from 1 species
AUACGGAAGGUCCGGGCGUUAUCCGGAUUUAUUGGGUUUAAAGGGAGCGCAGGCGGCACUUCAAGCGUGACGUUAAAUUUCGGGGCUCACCCCCGUUAUGCGUCGCGAACUGUUGUGCUUGAGUAGGCGGCAGGGAGGCGGAAUUCGCGGUGUAGCGGUGAAAUGCUUAGAUAUCGCGAGGAACUCCGAUAGCGCAGGCAGCCUCCCGGUGCUUUACUGACGCUCAUGCUCGAAGGUGCGGGUAUCGAACAGGAUUAGAUACCCUGGUAGUCCGCACUGUAAACGAUGGAUGCCCGCUGUUGGGCCUUUUGGGUUCAGUGGCCAAGAGAAAUCGUUAAGCAUCCCACCUGGGGAGUACGCCGGCAACGGUGAAACUCAAAUGAAUUGACGGGG